AACUAAGAAAAAGUUAGACUUAAAAUCUAAUAACCAUCCACACACAAAAGAUGCUUAGUUA
rnacentral:tRNA from 1 species